UGAUGUGAGGGCGAUCUGGCUGCGACAUCUGUCACCCCAUUGAUCGCCAGGGUUGAUUCGGCUGAUCUGGCUGGCUAGGCGGGUGUCCCCUUCCUCCCUCACCGCUCCAUGUGCGUCCCUCCCGAAGCUGCGCGCUCGGUGGAAGAGGACGACCAUCCCAGAUAGAAGGAGUGUACCGUUCUUCGGUCAAGGGUAUACGAUAGCUGCGCUCCCCUGCUAGAACCUCCAAACAAGCUCAAGGUCCAUGUUUUUAAUAUUCUGUUGGGAGCCACCCUGAGUG
rnacentral:snRNA from 1 species